rnacentral:tRNA from 1 species
AUGAUUGAAGUAAAUUAUUACAUUUAGUUUCGACCUAAAAGUUUGGAUAAUUAAUUAUC